rnacentral:rRNA from 1 species
UUCAAUAUUGCUGGCGGUUAAACGUGAGCAAUGUGCACUUUUCUCUUAGUAAGACGUUGUGAUCCAUUAGGAAUUGAUAGUGUCAACUAUUAUUGGGCUACCAAUAGACCUGUAUGAAGUUUAUCAAUUGGCAAAUAAUCCGAUCGUUUAUGGUUGUAUAUAUUGUCUGGUAAGCGUAUGGUGUUCUGGUGUAGCUGCCUGAUGGAUUUUAAAGGUCACAUCAUUAAUGUUUCGGCAUUACCCAUUCGUGGGAGAUAUUGAUAUGUACCCGAUCAACAGCGGUCAAAUUUGGGAUACCUUUAAGACCCGUCUUGAAACACGGACCAAGGAGUCUAUCUAGUAUGCAAGUAAAUGGGUAUAAUAAACCUAUUUGCGUAAAUAACUUGACUAUUCAAUGGGAUUACGAAUUGAAAGCAGCAAUGCUUGGUUCCUCCAUCCCGGGGUAUUUUUAUCAACAUAUGCUUGCAUAUGGAAAAUAUACCAUGAGCAUACUGGAUAUGACCCGAAAGAUGGUGAACUAUGCCUGAUCAGGUUGAAGUCAGGGGAAACCCUGAUGGAGGACCGAAGCAAUUCUGACGUGCAAAUCG